AUUGAACGCUGGCGGCAGGCCUAACACAUGCAAGUCGAACGAGUGGCGGACGGGUGAGUAAUGUCUGGGAAACUGCCCGAUGGAGGGGGAUAACUACUGGAAACGGUAGCUCAUACCGCAUACGAUAUGAUGUGCCCCGAGGGGAUUAGCUCGUGGGGGGGGUAACGGCGCACCUAGGCGACGAUCCCUAGCUGGUCUGAGAGGAUGAGCAGCCACACUGGAACUUAGACACGGUCCAGACUCCUACGGGAGGCAGCAGUGGGGAAUAUUGCACAAUGGGCGCAAGCCUGAUGCAGCCAUGCCGCGUGUAUGAAGAAGGCCUUCGGGUUGUAAAGUACUUUCAGCGGGGAGGCGUUACCCGCAGAAGAAGCACCGGCUAACUCCGUGCCAGCAGCCGCGGUAAUUC
rnacentral:rRNA from 1 species